rnacentral:misc_RNA from 1 species
CGCACAUUGCGCCCUUUGGCAUUCCGAGGGGCAUGCCCGUUCGAGCGUCAUUAAAUCCAAUCAAGCCUGGCUUGGUGUUGGGCGUCGGGGUUCCCCGCGCCUCAAUUUCACCGGCUGGCCGUCGCCCGUCGUAGCGUUGUGACACACCUCUCGCUACCGAUGGGGCCGGACCACGCCGUUAGAAUCUCGCAAAUUUCAAUCGAAAUUUGAUUCAAAGGUUGACCUCGGAUCGGGUAGGAAUACCCGCUGAACUUAA